UGGGGAAUUUUGGACAAUGGGCGAAAGCCUGAUCCAGCAAUGCCGCGUGUGUGAAGAAGGCCUUCGGGUCUGAUAAGCACUUUUGUCCGGAAAGAAAUCCUUGGCUCUAAUACAGUCGGGGGAUGACGGUACCGGAAGAAUAAGCACCGGCUAACUACGUGCCAGCAGCCGCGGUAAUACGUAGGGUGCAAGCGUUAAUCGGAAUUACUGGGCGUAAAGCGUGCGCAGGCGGUUUGCUAAGACCGAUGUGAAAUCCCCGGGCUCAACCUGGGAACUGCAUUGGUGACUGGCAGGCUAGAGUAUGGCAGAGGGGGGUAGAAUUCCACGUGUAGCAGUGAAAUGCGUAGAGAUGUGGAGGAAUACCGAUGGCGAAGGCAGCCCCCUGGGCCAAUACUGACGCUCAUGCACGAAAGCGUGGGGAGCAAACAGGAUUAGAUACCCUGGUAGUCCACGCCCUAAACGAUGUCAACUAGUUGUUGGGGAUUCAUUUCCUUAGUAACGUAGCUAACGCGUGAAGUUGACCGCCUGGGGAGUACGGUCGCAAGAUUAAAACUCAAAGGAAUUGACGGGGUCAUAGCUGUUUCCU
rnacentral:rRNA from 1 species